CCGCUUGGGGGAUACAGCCGGUAUGUUGGUUGUUUCCUGCCGGGGUCCUCCUGAGAUGGUGUUGGUGGAAUCCGUCGGAGGCCGAUCGUCCAGCCACUCCAUGCCGGCGACCAUAGCCGGAGGAUGCGGGGCCUAGGAAACCAGAGGCGAGAUCGGGGUCUGAGAUAUGGCUGCGAAGGCCAUGGGUAGCUGUGCGGAUGCUUCGCGAGAAGGCAUCAGGCG
rnacentral:lncRNA from 1 species